ensembl:lncRNA
CUCCCUCCUCCCUCUGGCUGGCUGCCACUCCUCCCAGCGACUCUGUGCGUGUUGUCUGUUGAGGCCGGCCCCCUCUCUCUCCUCUGAUGGAGGAGUGAAGCUCACUGACACACACUCACAGACGCAACACGCCACAGGCAGGCUACCAGACAGACUGGCAGACAGGUAGGCAGCAGUCAGGCAACAUGACCCAAACAGGGAACAGCCUCAGCUCUGUGACCUGUGACAACAGAUGCCAACCACAGAACUGAACACUGAAGUUUACUUUGAGAGCCUCAGGGGAGCUGGAGUAAGCAGAAAAUAAGACAAAUAACAAGACGGGAUGAGGAGUGCUUGACUGCUGUUGUUGAGGCUGAGGAGGAGGGAGUAUUUUACUAACUUUUUCUGCACUUUCUGAACCUGUGGAAUUCCAUUCAUGAGCCAGAAGACUAAAGCCAGCAUGGUAUUCAGCUGGCAGAAGUCCUUUGCCAUUCUGACCCCCUGGAGGAAAGGUCCACCAAGCCAGCUCCAACCCUCUGGGCUCCGGACUGGGCUACCUGGAGCACAUCUGCCAGCUCAUCGAGAAGAUUGGUCAGCUCCAGGAGCACAACGUCAGGCUGCAGAAGCAGAUCUGUGGUCUGCAGAAGGAUGGAAAGAUGGCCAAGAACAAAGAGGACUUCUUCCUGCAGCACUGUAGCUGUGGAACGGCCGGCCUGGCCUUUCAGGAACAGAAAAGACACUCCAGGAGUGAGUUCCUGACCACAUCCAUGAGUGGCACCCUCUCUGACCUCUCCACCAUCCCUGAGGUCACACGUCACACAGGACUCACAGCCAUGAGAGAGAGUGACCAAGGUAAUAACCAGCCCCUGGUGCCCCUUUGUAGGAGGGGCCUGAAUCGGAGGAGCUACACAGAGGGAGAGACACGCUCCUCUCUCUUUGACAGUACAGAGGGUCUCUCUGCCCCACACAGACGGGUGAGUGAGAACUACACAUGGGGCAGAGUGAAGGAUCUGGUGAAGAAGACCAAGCUGAGAAACCAGACCAGACUGGGACAGACAUCCACCUCCCUGAAGAGAUCCUGUCCACAGCUCUACUGCCCUGACCUGGGACAAGUGGAACUGCCAGGAAGAAACAGAAACUCCAUGGUCGCCUUGGGCCAUUAGAACAAACUGGACUUCCAGUGGCCCCAAUAACAAAGAAGAUACGAAACAGAUGGCCCAAAGUGGGAAGAGACAGCCCUGAAGAGGAGGACAAAGUGAAGUUGAACAGAUUCUUGACUGGACUGGGAUAUGAUGAGUGUGAAAGGAAGGAUGAGAGAAAGAACACUUGUGAUGGAUGACAAAAUUUGAGUGAGGAGUGAAAAGAAAACAAAAAGAUGGAUGGUCAUAGACAUCUCUCUCUCUCUUGCGAUACAAUUCUAAAAUAAGGGAUUUUAUUGUUUCAAAUAAGGGAACAUUGGUAUGUAUGAGAAUAGAGAUGCAUUUACUCCACAACGUACAUGAAAACGAUAUAAAUUAUUUAAUCUUGUACUAUACUCGUUUUCUAUACAAUUCAUAUGGUAGCUUAAUGUCUUCUCUAAAUGUAUUUUAUACAUUCAGGCUGACAUUUCAAUACUGUGUGUUGAUGGAGCAAACAAUAACUCUUUGAUAUGGUCGUUUCAUCAAAGAAAUAGACAAUAUUCUGGGGUGGAAAUAAAGACUUGGAUUAUCAUUGACAGUGAUUAGAUAGAGUACAUUAGAAAAGGCUGCUUGUUGAAUCUUGCUUUCGUCUAUGGUAAAGUCUGCUCCCAAUUGAACAUGGCUGCUGCAUAAUAACAUUAUUUACAAAUGUCUCGUGAUCCAUUAUGUGAGAGAGAAGUCUACAGUAAGACAAGUCAUGCUCCCAUGAACAAAUGUGAAACAUACACAUAUCGUACACAUAUCGUACAUAUUUCAGAAUUGUACUUGCAGAAUCUAUACAACAUAUUUAGUGUGAUUUAUCUUCUUGUUUUGAGUGUAGGCCUAUAUAGGCUAGGUGUUUGCAAUAUGGACCAUACAUGGAUGACAGAUUGUGGUAUAUAUGUUGUGUGAUUGUGCUGUACAUAACACAUGUUCAUGUAGUGUGUGUACAGACAGUAUGAUUGUACAGGAAGGGAGUUAUGUCUGUAAAUUCCUAUGUCUAUAUGAUGUAAAGUUAUCAUUAUUGGAGAGAGAGGUUCAAGAUCCCUAAAGAUAAAAUACAUUUAAAAAAACUGCUGUCAGAUGUUACGAUGACAUUUCCCUAAGGUAUUUUAAUGUUCCUGUCAAACAUUUGUUAAAAAAACAGUCAAUAUAUAUAUAUUUUUGAUAUAAAUUGAUAUGACUACAAGAUGUGAUUUACUAGAGUCUGCUGUUGCUUGUUCAUCUUCAAGAUAUAUAUUGUUUUUGGUCGGGAUAUAUAUUGUUUUUGGUCUGGUUUGACUAGCUAACAGUGAUUUAGCUUUUCUACACCACUGUUACAUCACUAUGAGGUUAUUUGAUAACAGACAGGCGAAACAAGUGCCACAGGGCUUUGGAAAUCUCACUGGGCAACUAGAGAAGGUAAGUUUCACACAAAAACUUUGGAAAGGAUUAUUAAAUUGGCUUUAAAGCCUUGACACCUACCUGAAAAACAGCAGCAGCUAAUUUCAACUGCUCAAAACUGUCCAUUGUGUAAAUGACAGGAAUGGAGUUAAUCCAAUUUUACAAGACACUAAUCCCACAGAAAGAACGCAAACAAUAGUUAGUUAUCCAGUAUGUACUUCAGCAACGUGAACUAGAGUGUAGUACAACACUAAUGAGUUCUACAUAAUGUCAUCAUGUAGUCCUAUUAAAAUAAUAAUGUACUCAUUCUCUAACUGUAUCAUACUGAAUUCAUGUACCUCUAAAUACUCUAAUCAAGUAGAAUAUAAAUGUGUUGCAACUGAGAGGCAGUAAAGGCUGUCAAUAUGUAUGAUACAUUUGUCGGGCUGGUAACUAAAGACAAAAGAUAGUGAUAUCUGUAUAUUGUAUAUUGUACAAUUUACUGCAAUGGAUGAAAAAUCUCAAUAUGCAUAUUGCAUCAUUAUUCAAAGUUAUUUUUCAAAAUAAAGUUGACAUUUCCUAAGA